CCAGAUAACCAGCCAGCGUGCCUCGGAGGCGGCCGCCAUCGCAGAGGCCAUCCAAGGGCUAGCCAAUUUCUCACUUAGUCAAGAGUAGGUUUUCAUUUUAAUUUUCUUAAUUGAUCCGCUGCCGCUGCUGUCUGGCUAUUUAAAUUGGCCUGAGCGAUAGCGUAGCCGAGCUGGACGUGACCUUCGGACAAUAAUUCUCUGCUCUGUGCCAUUUGCAGGGUGUCUGUGUGCGCGAGGGCGUGCGUGUGUGUAUUUAGCCGUACUAGAAAGUACAGAUGUGCUGCAGUAAAUCACAGACGUUUUCAGGUUUUUGGCCCAGGGUCAUUCAACAAUCCAGCUGACAAGAGUAUGAUGUAGCCAAGGAAAGAACGAGAUGUCAGAGCGGCCAGGCGGCAAGGAAAAGUGUCAGCCCUGGCGUCUGUGAGCCAAACAGAUUGGCGGGAGAGGGAAUUGUCGCUGCGGUACUGCCUGCUAUAAAUGGAGAGGACGGGAAAGUUUUGGAGCAAGGAAGAAAUUAGCAAGUUUAUCUCUGGGGCCCUAUCAAGAAAGAAAAUGUGUGGUGCCAGGGCUCGCCCUCUGCUCUACUCUGCAUCUAUCUUCCGACUAGAAGCAAGUAAUGAGUAAAUGUUCCUUACUCCAUCUCCUUGAUCUGGGAACAGCCCUUUCAGCUAAGGAAGCUGCGUGACCCGCGUCUUUAAUGCUGAAGGACAACGAAACGUGGGAGGCUUUCAGCAACGACUACAUGCCGGUCUGCUGGAAGACGGAGCCGCCUCUCUUCAACCCAUCUUUCCUGAACCGCCAUCCUGCCAUUCCUUCUUAUUCGACUCUUACCGCAAGUCUGUCUGUUAAUAGAAAGUGGGACGCACAACAGAAUAUUGUGGCGUGGGUGACUACUGUUUAUAUGUCGCUGUUGUUAUUCACUGGAAUGAUUCUUGUACCACUUCUCAUUGGUGUAAGACCCCAAAGUGGCUUACUGCGCCACCAUAAAAUCGUAAAACAAGCCCCAUAUACAUGAGGUGUGGUGGUAAAUGUUAAAGUGUAAGCACUUGCCGUGAUAGUUCCCCCGGUGCCACUUCUCCGAAAUGCAAACAGCUGCGUUCGUUCAUAUCUAGAGACCAGGUUUAACCAUUUUUUAAUCUCUUAUCAGGAGCGAGGCUUUUGUAAAGCUAAUGGAUCUUAAUGGCCUAUGCUGGGCAGUACCCCCCUGCAAUGGGACAGCAGGAAAAUCCAUUCCUCCAUAGCUAAUGUGAGGGUUACAGCUACAUUUACAGAGAACAAGAAGGGCUGGGAGGGAU